rnacentral:rRNA from 1 species
GAUGAACGCUGGCGGCGUGCCUAAUACAUGCAAGUCGAGCGAACAGACGAGGAGCUUGCUCCUCUGACGUUAGCGGCGGACGGGUGAGUAACACGUGGAUAACCUACCUAUAAGACUGGGAUAACUUCGGGAAACCGGAGCUAAUACCGGAUAAUAUAUUGAACCGCAUGGUUCAAUAGUGAAAGACGGUUUUGCUGUCACUUAUAGAUGGAUCCGCGCCGCAUUAGCUAGUUGGUAAGGUAACGGCUUACCAAGGCAACGAUGCGUAGCCGACCUGAGAGGGUGAUCGGCCACACUGGAACUGAGACACGGUCCAGACUCCUACGGGAGGCAGCAGUAGGGAAUCUUCCGCAAUGGGCGAAAGCCUGACGGAGCAAAGCCGCGUGAGUGAUGAAGGUCUUCGGAUCGUAAAACUCUGUUAUUAGGGAAGAACAAAUGUGUAAGUAACUAUGCACGUCUUGACGGUACCUAAUCAGAAAGACACGGCUAACUACGUG